AACAGAGCACGGAAGGUGCAUUGGCUUGGCUGGCAGAAGAUGUGCCACGCAAAAGGAGAUGGAGAAUUGUGUUUCAGGGAUUCUCAGGUUCUCAAUCAAGCAAUGCUAGCAGCAAAACAGGGUUGGCGCGUCCUAACUGAACCCAGUUCGCUGUGUGUCAGAGUUCUGAAGGCUAGAUAUUUCAAGGAUAAAGAUUUCUUCGAUGCAGGAUGUCCCAGGAGGGCCUCUUUCACUUGGCGCAGUAUCAUCUUUGGCAGAGAGCGACUGAAAAGAGGGAUAAUAUGUCAAAUCAGGGACAGCUCAACUAUAGGCAUCUGGCACAACAACUGGAUACCCAGAGCCAGAGUUCGGCAUCCUCUGUGA
rnacentral:rRNA from 1 species